UUAUAUGAUUAUUCCAAUUACUUAAUCUGUCAAUCCCCUGAAUCCCAAAAUGGGAAUACAUGAUUGAGAACAGUAUUCAUAUAAUAUGACUCGAUUCUGCCUUUGCUGUCCUUGCAACUUCUAAUGACUCUUCAGCGC
rnacentral:snoRNA from 1 species